rnacentral:rRNA from 1 species
UAAGGAAUAUUGCUCAAUGCGAGAAAUCCUGAAGCAGCAACGCCGCGUGGAGGAUGAAGGGUCUAUGACUUGUAAACUCCUGUAAAGAAGGAAAAAAUUCCCAUUUGAUGGGAGAUGAUGGUACUUCUGGAGUAAGCCCCGGCUAACUACGUGCCAGCAGCCGCGGUAAUACGUAGGGGGCAAGCGUUGUCCGGAUUUACUGGGUGUAAAGGGUGCUCAGGCGGAUUUGUAAGUCAGAGGUGAAAUCUUACAGCUUAACUGUGAAACUGCCUUUGAUACUGCAAGCCUAGAGUAUGGAAGAGAGUGAUGGAAUAUCUGGUGUAGCAGUGAAAUGCGUAGAUAUCAGAUAGAACACCAAUGGCGAAGGCAGUCACUUGGUCCAUUACUGACGCUAAAGCACGAAAGCGUGGGUAGCAAACA